CCUACGGGAGGCAGCAGUGGGGAAUAUUGCGCAAUGGGCGGAAGCCUGACGCAGCGACGCCGCGUGGGGGAUGACGGCCUUCGGGUUGUAAACCUCUUUCGACUUCGACGAAGCUUUGUCGUUGUGAUACGGCGGGGUGACGGUAGGGGUGGAAGAAGCACCGGCCAACUACGUGCCAGCAGCCGCGGUAAUACGUAGGGUGCGAGCGUUGUCCGGAAUUAUUGGGCGUAAAGAGCUCGUAGGCGGUGUGUCGCGUCGGCCGUGAAAACCUGCAGCUUAACUGUGGGCGUGCGGUCGAUACGGGCAUCACUGGAGUUCGGCAGGGGAGACUGGAAUUCCUGGUGUAGCGGUGAAAUGCGCAGAUAUCAGGAGGAACACCGGUGGCGAAGGCGGGUCUCUGGGCCGAUACUGACGCUGAGGAGCGAAAGCGUGGGGAGCGAACAGGAUUAGAUACCCUGGUAGUCCACGCUGUAAACGGUGGGCGCUAGGUGUGGGGGCCGAUUCCACGGUCUCUGUGCCGCAGCUAACGCAUUAAGCGCCCCGCCUGGGGAGUACGGCCGCAGGCAAAACUUAAAGGAAUUGACGG
rnacentral:rRNA from 1 species